UGCAGUCGACGAAGUAGCAAUACUUUAGUGGCGAACGGGUGAGUAACACGUAUCUAACCUACCAUUUAGUGGGGAAUAACUGUUGGAAACGACAGCUAAUACCGCAUAUGUUAUUUAUUUGCAAUGAUAAAUAAUGAAAGGAGCAUUUGUUUCGCUAAUUGAUGAGGAUGCGGCGCAUUAACUAGUUGGUAAGGUAAUGGCUUACCAAGGUAACGAUGCGUAGCCGAUCUGAGAGGAUGAACGGCCACAUUGGGACUGAGACACGGCCCAAACUUCUACGGAAGGCAGCAGUAGGGAAUUUUUCACAAUGGGCGAAAGCCUGAUGGAGCAAUGCCGCGUGACUGAUGAAGAUCUUCGGAUUGUAAAGGUCUGUUGUAAGGGAAGAAGUGCUAGAAUAGGAAAWGAUUUUAGUAUCGACCAUACCUUACCAGAAAGCCACGGUUAACUAUGUGCCAGCAGCCGCGGUAAUAAUUGGUGGCAAGCGUUAUCUGGAUUU
rnacentral:rRNA from 1 species